rnacentral:rRNA from 1 species
UACGUAGGGGGCGAGCGUUGUCCGGAUUUAUUGGGCGUAAAGAGCGUGUAGGCAGCCAGGUAGGUCUGCUGUGAAAACUCGAGGCUCAACCUCGAGACGUCGGCGGAAACCAUCUGGCUAGAGUCCGGAAGAGGAGAAUGGAAUUCCCGGUGUAGCGGUGAAAUGCGCAGAUAUCGGGAAGAACACCCGUGGCGAAGGCGGUUCUCUGGGACGGUACUGACGCUGAGACGCGAAAGCGUGGGGAGCGAACAGG